UUUUGGGGUUAUAAGUUCAGAUACAUGUUAGUAGUAUCUUUUUAUCUGAUACUUACCUUUACCAAAUUGUCUUUUUUCCUAUUUCAAAGGCGAAUUUUGUGUGGUGAUUUUUCAUACUCUAUUUUUGUUAAAAUUGUCAAAUAAAGACUUAUAAUUUAAAAUUUUCAAGUUUAUUUCGAUUGAAUUUACAUCAUGAAGUUGAUUCAUGUUUAUCUUUUAGUUUUGGAAUCUGUCAAAUUGAUAACAUUGAAUAAUAUGUAGAUGUUGUUUCUUUUGUCCCUAGAGUUUUUGAUAAAAAUUCUGAUGAUUUUUGUGAAAAUAAAUUCAAUCACUGAAAUAAGUUUUCUGCGAUAAAAAAAUUGCAUGAAAAGCAUGCAAAAUGGGGCUAAGAAAAAAGGAGUCGGUGUUUCUACGAAAAGAGGAUCUACGAGUUCAGGAGGUGUAGUUCAUGCCAAAAGAGGAAGAGUUGUUGAAGUUGCCAUCAGAGAUGUUCUUCCAAAGGGAUUGUGGAUUUUUUGUAGCUUUGUUUGCUAAGUACCUGAACAAAAGGGCAGACAUAACAUCUUCUGGUGUCGUGGCGGAAUACCAUCGUUUGAGAUUUGCAAUUCUGCUUUGAAAGUAUGGAAUCGAUAAGGCGGAUAACAAUUACUUAAGUGACAAUGACGACCCACUGAGGCCUAAACUAACUUUCAUGCCACCAAUUUCAAAAAAAGACGUAGUUACUAUUGAGUGGGUCUAGUUGUCACUGUUAUGAUUUUUCUAGACGCAAUUCUAUUUUCAAUAGUUUUUAAAUUUUAAUUUGUAAAUAUUGUAUUGUGUUGAACUAAACUAGUCGUGUUUUGUUUGGAUAUUUUAUUUUACUAAGAAGUUAUUCAA